GACGAACGCUGGCGGCGUGCUUAACACAUGCAAGUCGAACGGAAAGGCCCUGCUUUUGUGGGGUGCUCGAGUGGCGAACGGGUGAGUAACACGUGAGUAACCUGCCCUUGACUUUGGGAUAACUUCAGGAAACUGGGGCUAAUACCGGAUAGGAGCUCCUGCUGCAUGGUGGGGGUUGGAAAGUUUCGGCGGUUGGGGAUGGACUCGCGGCUUAUCAGCUUGUUGGUGGGGUAGUGGCUUACCAAGGCUUUGACGGGUAGCCGGCCUGAGAGGGUGACCGGCCACAUUGGGACUGAGAUACGGCCCAGACUCCUACGGGAGGCAGCAGUGGGGAAUAUUGCACAAUGGGCGGAAGCCUGAUGCAGCAACGCCGCGUGCGGGAUGACGGCCUUCGGGUUGUAAACCGCUUUCGCCUGUGACGAAGCGUGAGUGACGGUAAUGGGUAAAGAAGCACCGGCUAACUACGUGCCAGCAGCCGCGGUGAUACGUAGGGUGCGAGCGUUGUCCGGAUUUAUUGGGCGUAAAGGGCUCGUAGGUGGUUGAUCGCGUCGGAAGUGUAAUCUUGGGGCUUAACCCUGAGCGUGCUUUCGAUACGGGUUGACUUGAGGAAGGUAGGGGAGAAUGGAAUUCCUGGUGGAGCGGUGGAAUGCGCAGAUAUCAGGAGGAACACCAGUGGCGAAGGCGGUUCUCUGGGCCUUUCCUGACGCUGAGGAGCGAAAGCGUGGGGAGCGAACAGGCUUAGAUACCCUGGUAGUCCACGCUGUAAACGGUGGGUACUAGGUGUGGGGUCCAUUCCACGGGUUCCGUGCCGUAGCUAACGCUUUAAGUACCCCGCCUGGGGAGUACGGCCGCAAGGCUAAAACUCAAAGGAAUUGACGGGGCCCCGCACAAGCGGCGGAGCAUGCGGAUUAAUUCGAUGCAACGCGUAGAACCUUACCUGGGUUUGACAUGGAUCGGGAGUGCUCAGAGAUGGGUGUGCCUCUUUUGGGGUCGGUUCACAGGUGGUGCAUGCCUGUCGUCAGCUCGUGUCGUGAGAUGUUGGGUUAAGUCCCGCAACGAGCGCAACCCUUGUUCACUGUUGCCAGCACGUUAUGGUGGGGACUCAGUGGAGACCGCCGGGGUCAACUCGGAGGAAGGUGGGGAUGACGUCAAGUCAUCAUGCCCCUUAUGUCCAGGGCUUCACGCAUGCUACAAUGGCUGGUACAGAGAGUGGCGAGCCUGUGAGGGUGAGCGAAUCUCGGAAAGCCGGUCUCGGUUCGGAUUGGGGUCUGCAACUCGACCUCAUGAAGUCGGAGUCGCUAGUAAUCGCAGAUCAGCAACGCUGCGGUGAAUACGUUCCCGGGGCU
rnacentral:rRNA from 1 species